rnacentral:rRNA from 1 species
UACGUAGGCAGCAAGCGUUGUUCGGAGUUACUGGGCGUAAAGGGUGUGUAGGCGGUUUUUUAAGUUUGGUGUGAAAUCUCACAGCUUAACUGUGAAACUGCAUUGGAUACUAUCCGGCUAGAGGAAUGGAGGGGAGACUGGAAUACUUGGUGUAGCAGUGAAAUGCGUAGAUAUCAAGUGGAACACCAGUGGCGAAGGCGAGUCUCUGGACAUUUCCUGACGCUGAGGCACGAAAGCCAGGGGAGCAAACGGG